UUAGAGUUUGAUCCUGGCUCAGAACGAACGCUGGCGGCAGGCCUAACACAUGCAAGUCGAGCGAUCCCUUCGGGGACAGCGGCGGACGGGUGAGUAACGCGUGGGAACGUGCCCUUUCCUUCGGAAUAGCCCAUGGAAACGUGGAUUAAUGCCGGAUGCGCCCUUUGGGGGAAAGAUUUAUCGGGGAAGGAUCGGCCCGCGUUGGAUUAGGUAGUUGGUGGGGUAAUGGCCUACCAAGCCGACGAUCCAUAGCUGGUUUGAGAGGAUGAUCAGCCACACUGGGACUGAGACACGGCCCAGACUCCUACGGGAGGCAGCAGUGGGGAAUCUUAGACAAUGGGGGAAACCCUGAUCUAGCCAUGCCGCGUGAGCGAUGAAGGCCUUAGGGUUGUAAAGCUCUUUCGCUGGGGAAGAUAAUGACGGUACCCAGUAAAGAAGCCCCGGCUAACUCCGUGCCAGCAGCCGCGGUAAUACGGAGGGGGCUAGCGUUGUUCGGAAUUACUGGGCGUAAAGCGCGCGUAGGCGGGCUGGAAAGUUGGGGGUGAAAUCCCGGGGCUCAACCCCGGAACUGCCCUCAAAACUGACAGUCUGGAGUUCGAGAGAGGUGAGUGGAAUUCCGAGUGUAGAGGUGAAAUCAGUUGAUAUCUGGUGGACAGCAGUGGGGAAGGCUAGCUGCAUCUGGCUACGAUGUGNCAAUGAGCGCGCGAACACGUGAGUAGCAUAACGACGAUUAGAUACCCGUAGUAGUACGACGUCNGUAAUCGAUGAAUGCCAGUACGUCGGGCAGCGUGCUGUAUCGUUGUCGACUCCUAACGGAUUGAGCAUGUCCGUCCUGAGGAGUACGUCCGCAAGGUGAAAACUCAAAGGAAUUGACGGGGGCCCGCACAAGCGGUGGAGCAUGUGGUAUAAUUAGAAGCAACGCGCAGAACCUUGCCAACCCUUGACAUGGGGGUCGCGGCGCCGGAGACGGCGCUUUCAGUUCGGCUGGGCCCCACACAGGUGCUGCAUGGCUGUCGUCAGCUGGUGUUGUGAGAUGGUCGGUUAAGUCCGGCAACGAGCGCAACCCACGUCCUCAGUUGCCAGCAUUCAGUUGGGCACUCUGGGGAAACUGCCGAUGAUAAGUCGGAGGAAGGUGUGGAUGACGUCAAGUCCUCAUGGCCCUUACGGGUUGGGCUACACGCGUGCUACAAUGGCAUCUACAGAGGGUUAAUCCCGAAAAGAUGUUUCAGUUCGGAUCGGGGUCUGCAACUCGACCCCGGGAAGUCGGAAUCGGUAGUAAUCGCGGAACAGCAUGCCGCGGGGAAUACGUUCCCGGGCCUUGUACACGCCGCCCGUCACACCAUGGGAGUUGGUUUUACCCGACGACGGUGCGCUAACCCUUCGGGGAGGCAGCCGGCCACGGUAAGAUCAGCGACUGGGGUGAAGUCGUAACAAGGUAGCCGU
rnacentral:rRNA from 1 species